ensembl:miRNA
GUGUUAAUCUGUAGUACCCGAAGAGAGGUUUCCUGGGUUUCGGUUUCUUUUUUGAUGAUGAAACACACCUGGUUAACCUCUUUUCCAGUAUCAGAUCC